AUGGCUGACGAGUACGGCCGCAGCGGCUACGGCAGGUCCGGUGCCGGCGACGACUACGACAACAAGACAAGCAACGAGGGCUACGACCGCCGCGAAGGUGGCUACAACAAGUCUGGCGCCGACGACUACGAGCAGGACCGCAGCAGUGGCCGCGGUGGCUACAACAAGUCCACCGGCGACGACGAGUACAGCGGCGCCGGGUACAAGAAGUCCGGAGGCGACGACUACGACACCGGCUACAACAAGCAGUCCAGCAACGAGGACUACGGCCGCAACAAGUCCGGCAGUGACGACUACGAUCGGAGCGCCGGCGGGUACAAGAAGUCCGGCGGCGACGACGAUGAGUACAGCGGUGGCGGGUACAAGAAGUCGGGUGGCGACGACGAGUACAGCGGCGGCGGGUACAAGAAGACAGGUGGCGACGACGACGAGUACAGCGGUGGCGGGUACAAGAAGUCGGGUGGCGACGACGAGUACAGCGGCGGCGGGUACAAGAAGUCCGGCGGCGACGACACAGAGUACGGGUCGUCCAGGGACGAGACCGAGAAGUACAGGAAGGAGGAGAAGGAGCACAAGCACAAGGAGCACCUCGGCGAGAUAGGCACCCUCGCCUCCGGCGCCUUCGCCAUGUACGAGAAGCACCAGGUGAAGAAGGACCCGGAGAACGCGCACCGGCACAAGAUCGAGGAGGAAGUGGCCGCGGUGGCGGCGGUUGGCAGCGGCGGGUACGCGUUCCACGAGCACCACGAGAAGAAGGAGUACAAGGAGUCGGCGGAGGACGGCGAGGACGAGGAGUCCGGUCGCGGCGAGGGGAAGAAGAAGCACCACUUCUUCGGCUAA
rnacentral:rRNA from 1 species